GUCAGUUCCUUCUCUGCCAGGAGUAGCAGAUGAAAAGGCCUAGCAGCGUUUCCUGGCACAUACUGUCAGACCCACUGCUUGCCUCUGGGACUUCAGCGGCAAAAGGGUGAGAAAGGAGACAAAGAGAAGAGUGGGAGGAAGAGGAAGUGGGAAGGAGACGCCACCCAGGCGGCCUGGCAGAGGCCGCCCGCGCACGGCUCAGCCUGGGGCAGGCGCCUCCAAGAGCACUGGGCCUGCAGCAUUUCCAGAGCAUUGCUCCUCUCUCCCGAGGCGGGUCCAAAGGGAAGGGUGGCCUUCCCUCUUUGCAGCCGACUUGGGAAGGCAAAGCCUGUUCACCUGUGGAGGACUGAGCCUCAGGACCGGCUUAUCCAGGCCGUGGCGCCACGCUGGGGCUUGGCGCGAAUCCUCAUACCAUCUCCACCGCGGGACACAGUGAGCCGCAUUUGACAGAGGGUGUCAUCGCCCUGCCAAAACGCCUUGAGGCUCAGCUUCGGCUGCCAGGGGAGGAUACUGAGGCACAGAGCACGCUCAGUGCCUUUGCGCUCGGUGGCUGAAUUUGAACCCCAGCCUCAGGGAGGGCCCAGACUCAGCAUCUGCACGGCCCACACCACUCCCAGCUCCCUGUCCUCUUAUUCGCUGUCACUCUGGGGGCUCAGACACCCUCCCAGUCCUCCAGGACCUGCUUCCCUCCUCUGUCAUAAUGGAGGCCACCCGUUCUCUGCCUGCCUCCGAGUGUGUGGUCAGGGUGAGGCCCGCAGGCCCCAGCUGCUCCUGCGCCCCCACCCACAGAAGGACGUCUCAGGGAGAUGCUAUUGUGAUUGCUGUUCUGCGAAUGGGACCCCUGAGGAACACAGAGCAGUAGGUCACCCACCCAAGGCUGCUGGUCCUGAGAACCGGCAUGGGCUGCAGCUCCUUUUGGCAAAUCCGCCACUGUAGAGUCCAGCUGGACGAAGGCAGUGCGAGGGGGUGGACAUGGAGGCCACUUCCAAGUGACCAGACUCACGGAGGACGAGGAGGACAAAGGGAGGCUGGGUGGGAGAGGGUUUCAGAGGGAGCCGAGGUACCCCCAGGCUCAGGGACUUGUGCAGGGUUUAUUCGAGCCCAGUGGCAGCGCCUGCCCCCUCCUUUCUGGGUUUCCCUCCCAAGACUCUUGCACCAAAUGUCCCUGGGUGGCUUCAGUGCCGUGGACCUUCCAGCAGGUGGGCAGGGGAGGAGCUGCCGCAGCCCAGGCUGCAGCACACACAAGGCACUGUCCCCUCCACAUCUCUGGAGUCCCCUUUCCAGGCCUUCACCCAGGGCCAGCCUCCCUGACUCCUACCAGCUUCCUCCCCGUGGUGCCUCCCAGCCACCAGUGCUCCCCCUCCCAGGCUGUGGGGCUAGUGGCCCCCACUCCCUGCAGUGGGCCAGACAAAUGGCCUCCAGACAAAGGCAGCCCCACCAAGGCCGGGUGGUUGGGGUGGGAGCUGGAUCCUGCCCUUGACCACUCCGAGGGCUCACCCAGACUCAGAGAGAUGGUGAGGGAAGCAAAUCUUCU